AUCGCUUCUCAGCCUUUUGGCUAAGAUCAAGUGUAGAAGAAAGGUUGUUGAAUUUCCCAGAUACUAAUACAUAAAAUAUUGUAUAUUAAAUAUAUAAAGAUAUUCAGAAAGGUUAUCAAUGGCUUGCUGUAUAGCAAUCAGCAUAAAGUAUUCCAUUUUUAAAACUGUUUUUGCAAUAUUU
ensembl:snRNA U2 U2 spliceosomal RNA